UACGUAGGGACCAAGCGUUGUUCGGAUUUACUGGGCGUAAAGGGCGCGUAGGCGGCGUAACAAGUCACUUGUGAAAUCUCCGGGCUUAACCCGGAGCGGCCAAGUGAUACUGUUGUGCUAGAGUGCGGAAGGGGCUACUGGAAUUCUCGGUGUAGCGGUGAAAUGCGUAGAUAUCGAGAGGAACACCUGCGGCGAAGGCGGCUCUCUGGGACGGUACUGACGCUGAGACGCGAAAGCGUGGGGAGCGAACAGG
rnacentral:rRNA from 1 species